GUGGCAGCUAGAGAUAUCACUGCUCGUUCACAUGCCACGGGGGACUUGGGUUUCCUCGCUAGCACCCUUUGCCCGAGUCUCCGUCCCUAACAGUGCUGGGAGUUUCCUAGCCGUGUGCUCUGGUCAGAAGUGACCCUCAUUCCUACGGCGAGGUCUAACUGCCUUAAUCAGAUCAGAAUAUCCCUCCUCUAUGCUGCAGUAAUUCGUUAGGUAAAGGCACAAGUUCGGCCAGCUGGAUUAAUGAUCUUAAUUCUGGGUCUUUUCUUUGAGCUAACUGGGUAGUAAGCAGUUUCUUCUUAAUUAUGAAAUCAGAAAAGCAAGUAGUGUCGUGAGCUUUCAGCAGCCACCUUGACAUGAUGUAGGAGGUGGAACCAAAGACCGAAAGAAACGAGGUCCUUGGUAACAGCUGCUGGAUCAACCCUCACCUGAAGCUAUCCCUCGUUCUAGGCUCGUCAGCGAGUGCACAUUGCUAUGGCAAAACCUAAAAAAAAAAAAAAGACUCACAUGGCCCAGCUUCAGUAGGGAGCGCCGGCGUGUGACUGGAUGCGGCGAGACCGUGUGGAGUCUGAGUUUGAUUCCCGGCCCACCCUGCGUGGCCCAGAGCGGUGGCCUACGCCUGCUUGGGAGGCUGAGGCAGGAGGAUUUCGACCCAGCGAGACCCUACCUAAAACAUCACGCACACACAGGUGAUCCAUUAACAAUGGAAUGGCUCAGAGGUGCGGUGUGUUUGUGGUGGAAACAACAUCUCCCUGGGGUCCUGUGGGUCUCUCUCCAGGAAUGACCCAAGUGAGCGGUUUCUUAGGUCUCAUUUCAGAAUCCAUGCAUCUGGGACAAAUAUUGGCACAAAUAUCUUCUCUGUUUCUCUAUUUUUAUACAAAUGAGGCCCUCUAUACAACCACCUACACCUUGCUUUUCUCAUUUAAAAUAAACCCUUGAGGUGGGGGGCCAGCAGGUGGCAUGGUGGUUAAGGC